GAUGAACGCUAGCGGCAGGCCUAAUACAUGCAAGUCGAACGGUGUCUUCGGACAUAGUGGCGCACGGGUGCGUAACACGUAUGCAACCUACCUUACAUUGGGGGAUAGCCUUUCGAAAGGGAGAUUAAUACCGCAUAAGACAGUAGCUGGGCAUUCAGCAGCUGUUAAAGAUUUAUCGAUGUAAGCUGGGCAUGCGUCCAAUUAGCUAGUUGGUGAGGUAACGGCUCACCAAGGCAAUGAUUGGUAGGGGAACUGAGAGGUCAAUCCCCCACCCGGGCACUGGGGAACGGGCCAGAGUCCGACGGGAGGCAGCAGUAGGGAAUAUUGGGCAAUGGACGCAAGUCUGACCCAGCCAUACCGCGUGCAAGAUGAAGGCGUUAUGCGUUGUAAACUGCUUUUAUACAGGAAGAAACGACUCUUGCGAGAGGCAUUGACGGUACUGUAUGAAUAAGCACCGGCUAACUCCGUGCCAGCCGCCGCCGUAACAC
rnacentral:rRNA from 1 species